UACGUAGGGUGCAAGCGUUAAUCGGAAUACUGGGCGUAAAGCGUGCGCAGGCGGUUUUGUAAGUCUGACGUGAAAUCCCCGGGCUUAACCUGGGAAUUGCGUUGGAGACUGCAAGGCUGGAGUCUGGCAGAGGGGGGGUAGAAUUCCACGUGUAGCAGUGAAAUGCGUAGAGAUGUGGAGGAACACCGAUGGCGAAGGCAGCCCCCUGGGUCAAGACUGACGC
rnacentral:rRNA from 1 species